rnacentral:rRNA from 1 species
UACGUAGGGGCGAGCGUUGUCCGAAGUUACUGGGCGUAAAGCGCGCGUAGGCGGGGGAGUUAAGUGAGAGGUGAAAGGCUGGGGCGUCAACCUCAGUAGUGCCUCUCAUACUGGUCUUCUUGAGGGCGGUAGGGAGAAGUGGAAUGGCUGGUGUAGCGGUGAAAUGCGUAGAUAUCUGGAGGAACACCGGUGGCGAAAGCGGCUCACUGGACCAUAACUGACGCUGAGGUGCGAAAGCUAGGGUAGC